UUGGAACUGGGGCUCGGCUCCACACACCCCAUCGCGGCGCUGCGGCGGCCGGCAAUGCCUCUGCUCCUGCCCCUGCUCGGCUGCAGACUCUUGGCCGUGGAGCUGACAUCCAGCACCACCAAGCCCGUGCUGCAGGAAUUCCAGAGCGUGGAGCUGUCCUGCAUGGUUAAAUCCACCGUAACAGCAGAUAAAGCACUGUUUGAGUAUUUUUAUCCAAUCUGUUUUUAUUAAUAGAGUGAGCACUAUCAAUCAGGAAUAAAGAACAAUGGUAUCUUCUAAAUUCUGCAGACAUUAGCUAAAAUAACAGAACACUAGUAUCAAUAUGGGCCUAACAGAUAUAAGCUCACAAAGCUAGUAUAAAUACAAACUUGAGGAUAGAAGCUUGAAAGAAAAAGGGGAAACAAAAUAGGCUGCAGUGGUGCCGGGACCCACACUCGGGAUCAGAGGGUCCUGCUCCUCAUGUAGGACCGGCUCCUCUGCAGAAGAGGUGUGCGCGGCAGUGCCUCCAGCGGUCCCGCACCCACCGCCACAGCCUGGAGCAGCACUCCUGCAGGCACUGCCCGGCCCGGCACAGCCCCGAGGACACCCGCGGAUGGACCGUGCCCGUGGGCCCCCAGUGGGACCCUGUUGGGUUGGUCCUGCCUGGACCCGCUGUGAUGGUCCCGUCUGGAUCCACGGGGAUGUGUCUGCGAGGAUCCGUAGGGCUGAGCCUGCUGGGCUCCAUCAGGACGCUCUGGUCCCGCUCCUUUGGGGCGUUCCCAUCCAGUUCCUCCUGGAUGCGCCCAUCUGUGCCCAUGUUCAUGUCCACAUCUGUGUCCGUAUCAGAGUCCAAAUCCGUGUCAGUAUCUGAGUCCAAAUCCUUGUCCGUGUCCCCCUCCACCAGCUGCCACCUCCCAGUGCCAAGGACGUCCACCCGGAUGCGCAAAUGGAUCCUGGGCUCGGGCUCCAGGGCUGAGGUCUCCUGGGCCGGGAGCUCCUGGGCUGGGGGCUCCUGGGUUGGGGGCUCCCGGAGGGCCCCUGCCGCCCUCCGCCGCUCCAGCAGUGCCCGCAGCAGUUGGCAGCGGCGCUCGAUGGCCGCGUGGUUUUCACGUACAGCGCAGAGCAGCUCCCGGAUGAGCUCCAGGUGGGAGCCGUGGGGCGGGGGGGGCUCCGUG
rnacentral:lncRNA from 1 species